CCACGUGGCGGCAUGCUAUACAUGCAGUCGAGCGGACAGAUGGGAGCUUGCUCCCUGAUGUUAGCGGCGGACGGGUGAGUAACACGUGGGUAACCUGCCUGUAAGACUGGGAUAACUCCGGGAAACCGGGGCUAAUACCGGAUGGUUGUUUGAACCGCAUGGUUCAAACAUAAAAGGUGGCUUCGGCUACCACUUACAGAUGGACCCGCGGCGCAUUAGCUAGUUGGUGAGGUAACGGCUCACCAAGGCAACGAUGCGUAGCCGACCUGAGAGGGUGAUCGGCCACACUGGGACUGAGACACGGCCCAGACUCCUACGGGAGGCAGCAGUAGGGAAUCUUCCGCAAUGGACGAAAGUCUGACGGAGCAACGCCGCGUGAGUGAUGAAGGUUUUCGGAUCGUAAAGCUCUGUUGUUAGGGAAGAACAAGUACCGUUCGAAUAGGGCGGUACCUUGACGGUACCUAACCAGAAAGCCACGGCUAACUACGUGCCAGCAGCCGCGGUAAUACGUAGGUGGCAAGCGUUGUCCGGAAUUAUUGGGCGUAAAGGGCUCGCAGGCGGUUUCUUAAGUCUGAUGUGAAAGCCCCCGGCUCAACCGGGGAGGGUCAUUGGAAACUGGGGAACUUGAGUGCAGAAGAGGAGAGUGGAAUUCCACGUGUAGCGGUGAAAUGCGUAGAGAUGUGGAGGAACACCAGUGGCGAAGGCGACUCUCUGGUCUGUAACUGACGCUGAGGAGCGAAAGCGUGGGGAGCGAACAGGAUUAGAUACCCUGGUAGUCCACGCCGUAAACGAUGAGUGCUAAGUGUUAGGGGGUUUCCGCCCCUUAGUGCUGCAGCUAACGCAUUAAGCACUCCGCCUGGGGAGUACGGUCGCAAGACUGAAACUCAAAGGAAUUGACGGGGGCCCGCACAAGCGGUGGAGCAUGUGGUUUAAUUCGAAGCAACGCGAAGAACCUUACCAGGUCUUGACAUCCUCUGACAAUCCUAGAGAUAGGACGUCCCCUUCGGGGGCAGAGUGACAGGUGAUGCAUGGUUGUCGUUCAGCUCGUG
rnacentral:rRNA from 1 species